GUGGGGAAUAUUGGACAAUGGGGGGAACCCUGAUCCAGCCAUGCCGCGUGUGUGAAGAAGGCCUUUUGGUUGUAAAGCACUUUAAGUGGGGAGGAGGCUCUCUUGGUUAAUACCUAAGAAGAGUGGACGUUACCCACAGAAUAAGCACCGGCUAACUCUGUGCCAGCAGCCGCGGUAAUACAGAGGGUGCGAGCGUUAAUCGGAUUUACUGGGCGUAAAGCGCGCGUAGGUGGUUAAUUAAGUCAAAUGUGAAAUCCCCGAGCUUAACUUGGGAAUUGCAUUCGAUACUGGUGAGCUAGAGUAUGGGAGAGGAUGGUAGAAUUCCAGGUGUAGCGGUGAAAUGCGUAGAGAUCUGGAGGAAUACCGAUGGCGAAGGCAGCCAUCUGGCCUAAUACUGACGCUGAGGUACGAAAGCAUGGGGAGCAA
rnacentral:rRNA from 1 species